rnacentral:lncRNA from 10 species
AGCUUAAGCAGUACUGCCACCAGGCUCUGCGGAGGGCCCUAAGUGAAUAGAGGGCAGCAGUGUCUUCCAAAUUUGAAAUGAGUGACAGUGGGUUAUAAUUAGGGGAGAAGAUGCUCUUGAUGCUACUGAGAAGAUACAGAGUGAGAACUUUUCUUAGAAAAGUCUGAGGUUGUAAAGAAGAACCAAGGUAAGAUUUAAAGAUUGCCUCUGAGAGAUAGGAGACAUAUGUGGGAAUAGGACUGGUUUUACAUGUCCCCUAAAAUGCUUAUUCCAUCUUUAGUGAGGCUGUAUUUGUGGGACUAGGUGCAUGUAAUUCUUAUGUUUAAAGAAAUGCUUUAACUUGUUAUAUCUGAAGGAUGUUUUAUGAGCACUUAGUCUUUUACUAGUUUUGUGAUGUUUUAUCCCCAUCAACAUCAAUGACAAGUAUUGUUUGAAUAUGUACUUCAUGUAAGAUGUAUAAGAGCCCUACUUAAUAUUUAGGGAAGUAGGAAAUUGAACAUUUAAGUCUAUUUUUUGCCCAACAUAUAGAGAUGAGAGGGAAAAAUAUUUGAUUAAACUAUAAUCUUUGUGUCUAUUAUGACUAGGUAGAGAUUCCUUAGGAUGAACUAAAAUCAAAACAGAUUUCACUAGAAUUUAUUUUUAUUUUUUAUUUUAUAAAAACGAGGGUCUUACUAUGUUGUCCUAGCAACAUAGUAAGGAGUCUCGAACUCCUGGGCUCAAGUGAUCUGCCUUCCUCGGCCUCCCAGUGUGCUAGGAUUACAGGCAUGAGCCACCGCGCCUGGCCAGAUUUUACAAGAAUCUGCUUGUGAAUUCCCUUCAAAAUUAAAAUUACACUGGAACCCCUUCUGAUGAUAUGCAUUCCACUCAAUUGAUCAUUCAUCCUCUACUUGCUAUCGAACUGCUGCGCUCACCAUGCAAUACGGCAUAGUUUGCAAAGCCACGGACUCUGGAGUGAUCUGCAUGGAUUCUGUCCAGGCUCUGCCACUUACUCUCUGCCCUUAACAUAUUUUUUAGCUUUUUUGAGGCUACAUUCUUCAGCUUUAUUGUCUUUAUAACACUUUGUACUUCUGAAAUUAUCAUCUUCUUUUAUUUUUCUCUGUUGAUGAUCUGUCUCUCAUUUCUGCAUCCCUUCUGCUAAACCAUAAGAAUUUGAGGUCCUUGAGAGCAGGGACCUUUGCCCCAUCUGUUUAUUACUGUGUUCCCAGUGGUUAGAAAACAGCCUGGCAUAUAGAAAACACUCAACCAGGCCGGGUGGGGUGGCUCGCUCCUGUAGUCCCAGCACUUUGGGAGGCCAAGGCAGGCAGAUCACUUGAGCCCCUGAAUUUGAGA